CUUGUCCCCUAUCUUUUCCCCCUUCCCUGGCGUAAAAGAAAAAAAAUAUCUCCCGUCUCCACUCCACUCCUUGCGCCAUCUCGCGGCUGAACAGGGGAGUGGAGGGGAGGGCCGCCUAUCUCCAUCUGGCGAGCAGAGCAAGAGCAAGGGAGGGGAUCCUGGUGUGGUGUUGUUGUUGUCGUUGUUGCUCGCCGGAUGUUGGAGGUCUGCUGCUGCUCCGGCGUCCUCGGCGGGUCGCCGCCGUCGUCGAGGACUGCGGGGGUUUCCUCACCUGGACUAUCGCCGUCUCGGCCCAGUAAGCGGCGAAUCGGCCGCGCCCGGGUGCAGCCGCGCGCGCCGCCGCCGUGCGACGAGCGGAGGGCGGCGGAGGACGUCAUCCACGCGCUCAGGUCGGCGGAUGGCCCCGCCGAGGCGCUUGAGCGGUUCAGGUCGGCGGCGCGGAAGCCCAGGGUGGCCCACACGACCGCGUCGUGCAACUACAUGCUCGAGCUCAUGCGCGGCCAUGGCCGGGUCGGGGACAUGGCCGAGGUGUUCGACGUAAUGCAGAGGCAGAUCGUCAAGGCGAACGUGGGCACGUUCGCGGCGAUCUUCGGAGGGCUUGGUGUGGAGGGGGGACUCCGGAGCGCGCCGGUGGCGCUGCCGGUCAUGAAGGAGGCCGGGAUUGUCUUGAACGCGUACACGUAUAAUGGCCUGGUUUAUUUCCUUGUGAAGUCCGGGUUUGAUAGGGAGGCGUUGGAGGUUUAUAGGGUGAUGAUGGUGGAUGGUGUUGUGCCUAGUGUGAGAACCUACUCUGUGCUGAUGGUGGCGUUCGGGAAGAGGAGGGAUGUCGAGACGGUUCUUUGGUUGUUGCGUGAAAUGGAGGCUCAUGGCGUGAAGCCGAAUGUGUAUAGCUACACCAUCUGUAUUCGAGUUCUUGGACAAGCCAAAAGAUUCGAUGAAGCUUAUCGGAUACUUGCGAAAAUGGAGAAUGAAGGGUGUAAGCCGGAUGUCAUUACCCAUACCGUGCUUAUACAGGUUCUUUGCGAUGCUGGCCGUAUCAGUGAUGCCAAGGAUGUUUUUUGGAAGAUGAAGAAGAGUGAUCAAAAACCUGAUCGAGUGACCUACAUUACUCUGUUAGAUAAGUUUGGUGACAAUGGUGACUCGCAAUCAGUGAUGGAAAUCUGGAAUGCAAUGAAAGCUGAUGGGUACAAUGACAAUGUUGUUGCUUAUACAGCAGUUAUUGAUGCAUUGUGCCAAGUUGGGAGGGUCUUUGAAGCUUUGGAAAUGUUUGAUGAGAUGAAACAAAAGGGUAUAGUGCCUGAGCAGUAUUCAUACAACUCGCUGAUAUCGGGGUUUCUUAAAGCUGAUAGAUUUGGUGAUGCCUUAGAGCUGUUUAAACAUAUGGAUAUUCAUGGACCUAAACCAAAUGGUUACACACAUGUUCUUUUCAUAAAUUACUAUGGAAAAUCUGGUGAAUCUAUAAAGGCAAUACAGAGAUAUGAACUAAUGAAGAGCAAAGGGAUUGUGCCAGAUGUUGUUGCUGGUAAUGCUGUUUUGUUUGGUCUUGCCAAAUCUGGUAGACUUGGCAUGGCAAAAAGGGUAUUUCAUGAAUUAAAAGCUAUGGGGGUUUCUCCGGAUACUAUCACCUACACUAUGAUGAUCAAGUGUUGCAGCAAGGCAUCAAAAUUUGAUGAAGCUGUGAAGAUUUUCUAUGAUAUGAUUGAAAAUAAUUGUGUUCCUGAUGUUCUUGCCGUGAAUUCUUUGAUUGAUACACUCUACAAGGCAGGCAGGGGUGAUGAAGCCUGGCGGAUCUUUUAUCAACUAAAAGAAAUGAAUCUAGAGCCAACAGAUGGGACUUACAAUACACUUUUGGCAGGAUUGGGAAGGGAAGGUAAAGUCAAGGAGGUAAUGCAUCUGCUUGAAGAAAUGUACCACAGUAAUUAUCCUCCUAAUUUGAUAACAUACAAUACGAUUCUUGACUGUCUCUGCAAGAACGGGGCAGUUAAUGAUGCACUUGAUAUGCUAUACAGUAUGACUACGAAAGGAUGCAUACCUGAUCUUUCGUCUUACAACACUGUUAUAUAUGGCCUUGUUAAAGAAGAAAGAUAUAAUGAGGCAUUCAGUAUUUUUUGUCAGAUGAAGAAGGUUCUUAUUCCAGAUUAUGCAACACUGUGUACUAUCCUCCCAAGUUUUGUGAAAAUUGGACUGAUGAAGGAAGCUCUGCAUAUUAUCAAGGACUACUUCCUCCAACCUGGCUCCAAAACAGAUAGGUCUUCAUGCCAUUCACUAAUGGAAGGGAUACUGAAGAAGGCUGGCAUCGAAAAGUCAAUUGAGUUUGCUGAAAUCAUAGCAUCAAGUGGUAUUACCUUGGAUGAUUUCUUUUUGUGCCCAUUAAUUAAGCAUCUCUGUAAGCAGAAGAAAGCUCUUGAAGCACAUGAACUUGUCAAAAAGUUCAAGAGCUUUGGAGUUUCACUAAAAACUGGAUUAUAUAAUUCUUUGAUUUGUGGGCUUGUUGAUGAAAACCUAAUAGAUAUUGCUGAAGGCUUGUUUGCUGAAAUGAAGGAACUCGGUUGUGGUCCAGAUGAGUUUACUUACAACUUACUUCUUGAUGCCAUGGGAAAGUCAAUGCGGAUAGAGGAAAUGCUAAAAGUUCAAGAAGAGAUGCAUCGCAAGGGAUAUGAAUCAACUUAUGUUACUUAUAACACAAUCAUUUCAGGUCUUGUAAAGUCAAGAAGGUUGGAGCAGGCUAUUGAUUUGUACUACAACCUGAUGAGCCAAGGUUUCUCACCCACACCAUGCACAUAUGGCCCUCUUCUUGAUGGUCUGUUAAAAGCUGGAAGGAUAGAAGAUGCAGAAAAUCUUUUCAAUGAGAUGCUGGAGUAUGGAUGCAAGGCCAAUUGCACUAUCUACAAUAUACUACUGAAUGGACAUCGAAUAGCUGGUAAUACAGAGAAGGUCUGUCAUUUGUUUCAGGAUAUGGUUGACCAGGGAAUAAACCCAGAUAUAAAAUCCUACACGAUUAUUAUUGACACACUCUGCAAGGCAGGACAGUUAAAUGAUGGUCUAACAUAUUUUAGGCAAUUAUUAGAAAUGGGUCUUGAACCUGAUCUAAUUACUUACAAUUUGCUCAUUGAUGGUCUUGGAAAAUCAAAAAGAUUAGAGGAAGCAGUGUCUCUAUUCAAUGAGAUGCAGAAGAAGGGAAUUGUCCCGAACUUGUACACUUAUAAUUCACUAAUUCUCCACUUAGGAAAAGCAGGGAAGGCUGCUGAAGCUGGGAAAAUGUAUGAAGAGCUACUGACGAAAGGCUGGAAGCCUAACGUUUUCACAUAUAACGCUCUUAUUAGGGGGUACAGUGUUUCCGGCAGUACUGAUAGUGCCUAUGCUGCCUAUGGUCGGAUGAUUGUUGGCGGGUGCCUACCCAAUUCAAGCACGUACAUGCAGCUCCCAAAUCAGCUGUGACUAACUAGUUAGUGACUGAAUGUACUUCUUCUGUAUAGUUUUGUCUAUAAAAGGAAAAGGAUCAACUGUAGAUAGUCCACUUCAAUAUAUCUGAGGGUUCUGCUGGUUCUUGUUCUACACUAUAUUUUUGUACUUGAUGGAAGAAAAUUAUUCAAUACACAGCUGACUUGAUCACUUGAAUCAUCUGUUCAAUUUAACUGACAUUGUGAGGUUACAGUUGUUAAACUCUUAUCAAGUCCAUCCAUUAUAUGUGGUUCAAGUACAACUGAUCUGUGUGCACAUUACCCAUUUUCUUUCUACUGGUAUGUCUCUUCAGCCAAAUGCUUGUGACAUAGUUCAGUUUUACUGCCUGUAUAGGUUUACUGAUGUGUGCGCAUCUUUAGGAAGUUGAGCUAGUGGUUCAGUUUCACAGUGUUACGCUGCUUAGCAACAAUCAACUUUUUCCCUGAUUCACCUUUUUCUCAUAUGAUAUAGCACUGCCAAUGGACUGCUUGAGAAGGUUCUCUAUUGUUGCAAUACAUGGAAAUGCAGUUAGAUGCUUCCUUUCCAAAAGUUUCUUUGUUCACAUGAUAGUGAAUUGGUAGCAUUUUGCAUACUUUGGGUCAAAAGAUGUGCUCAUUUCUUGUAGACCAUAAUUACAACACUGGAAUGGCCAAUUUCCUUCAUGAAAAUUUUCAAUGAGCAGCCAAUGCAAAUUCAAAUUUACUAUUUCCUUUAGUUUGGUUGUGUCUAAUCUGUAAGUUUAUGGUGAUUUUUACUAGAAAAGGUAUCGCUAAGUUUCUGAAAUUAUUUUCAUUUCUCUUCAGUCUAGAACUCUAGAUUAAUUUGUUGAUCUUGCUUAUAUGCCAAUUUGUUUGACUAUAUUUUCCUGUUGUAUCUAUGAUAUGCUCUCUCUUUGUUUUGGGGUUUAUCAUGGUAUAUUUCUAUAUUUUAUGGUGUUGAGCUGUUGAUCAUGAGAAAGUAAACUUGCAUGUUAAACUGAAGUAAUUGACAGUUUGACAUUCGUAAUACCUUGAUAUACCCUGAUCAAAUGUAUUUUUGUUCCAAACUCAAGCUACUACUAGGGAACAUUCAUCUUGAUCUAUUUAUUCAAAGCUUUCUUGUGGUGCUCAGUUUUGUUUUCUGGUUUUAGAUUGUAAUUUUGUCUGGUAACAAGCUCUUCUUUUGAUAUUUUUCCCCUUGAAAUUCAAAGAAAGGUGUAUUUUGCUUGCCUACCUAAAGAGAAGUUUGCAGUUCUAGUUGAACAGUUGUGCAUCUGUGAAGUUUGUUAUGGAUGUCCCCUUUAGGAUGCGUUUGGAGUUUGGUAUUGAACUGAAGAAGCUAUUAAUUUUAGUGACCUAACUUCUUGAGUGUUUUUCAUUCGUUUGGUGUGGUAUAUCCAUAUGCAGAAGUUGUGGAUGAUGCGUAUUGCUUCUUUUUAACCAGCACUCUUCUCUUGUCAUGAUGAAGGACACCACAGAUUCAAUAAAGCCAUACAUAUUCUGUUCUCCAGUUGGAGAUCACCUAGACACCUGCCACUAAACAGUUUGGUCUGCUUGUUGCUGUGAUGCGGUUAUGCCCUUUUUUCCUGAGGUAUUUUUAGAAGAAAAUUUCUACAUGUUUCAUAUUGCAUUAUCAGGGACUCUUCAAACUGUUCGUCCCCGGAAGCUGUCGGCACAGUGAGGAAGCAGAUCACCAGCCAUCGUAGCUAUCACAAUGCCAAAGAGCCAACAACAAAGGUCAGGGUCUUGAUCUCUUGUAUGCCCAGUAACAGGUUAAUCCUCCUGGCUCUCUGUACUGAAACAAUUUCUCUGGAUCUCUUUCCCUUUUGUUUUGGACCUUAUACAACCUGCUGAUGGUUAAUAAUGAUGUUCUUGAAUAAUAGAUCAUGUUAAGCUGUUUGCAUGGUCUGCUGCUGUCAAAUAGUUUUAUGCGGUCACAACUCUUACUAACUGAUCAGGUUGACUUCAAGCAUUGGGCUAAAAACUAAGAUUAUGUAACUUAAAUAACAUAUAUGCCAUCAUCUUCAAUUUAAGUGAUAUUGUGUCAAUCUUCUGAUCAACUGUUUACAUCUUCGGGUUAUGUAGAUUCAUGUCAUCUUCUUUUACUCUGAAAUGCUAUAUGAGAUUGGCAGAAUGUCCUGAUUUCCCAGGCAUGGCGAUGGCUGUCCAAGGGCUGCUUAAGGAGAGCUGCUGCUGGAAAUGCCCAGCAAAUUGCUGAUGGAUGGAGGAUGCAUAAUCACUCAGUGUGGUGACCAUCUGAUUUAGCAUGGCGUAUUUCGCAAAAGGUUUGAAAUUCAAAACAGUGUCUCAUCGGAUACGCCAUAGUGAUUUUCAGUUUCUCUUAUUGGCGUACCUCUGCUUGUGGAACCCUCCUGGAUCUGAAUAUUGCAUUCCCACUGUUCCAUCUGGCUUCUCCUUCAGGCCGGCAAAGCAUUGCAAAACAGACCUAACAAAGAUUACUUCCCCCUAUUUGUCGUAAGAAACUUUGGAUGUUAUGUAGAACAGACCUUGGUAUAUGCAGUUCUUGACCAUAAGUUCACUAUCUGUCUUCUGCUUGUAAUAAUUGAUCCACCUAGAAUUACAAAGUGGUCUUAUUAUUUCAUCUCUGAAAUCCUCACUACGAAAGAAACUGGAGAAGACUAUUGCAACUGUCA